rnacentral:rRNA from 2 species
UGGGUGCUUGCAUCAUGAUUUACAUUUGAGUGAGUGGCGAACUGGUGAGUAACACGUGGGAAACCUGCCCAGAAGCGGGGGAUAACACCUGGAAACAGAUGCUAAUACCGCAUAACAACUUGGACCGCAUGGUCCGAGCUUGAAAGAUGGCUUCGGCUAUCACUUUUGGAUGGUCCCGCGGCGUAUUAGCUAGAUGGUGGGGUAACGGCUCACCAUGGCAAUGAUACGUAGCCGACCUGAGAGGGUAAUCGGCCACAUUGGGACUGAGACACGGCCCAAACUCCUACGGGAGGCAGCAGUAGGGAAUCUUCCACAAUGGACGAAAGUCUGAUGGAGCAACGCCGCGUGAGUGAAGAAGGGUUUCGGCUCGUAAAACUCUGUUGUUAAAGAAGAACAUAUCUGAGAGUAACUGUUCAGGUAUUGACGGUAUUUAACCAGAAAGCCACGGCUAACUACGUGCCAGCAGCCGCGGUAAUACGUAGGUGGCAAGCGUUGUCCGGAUUUAUUGGGCGUAAAGCGAGCGCAGGCGGUUUUUUAAGUCUGAUGUGAAAGCCUUCGGCUCAACCGAAGAAGUGCAUCGGAAACUGGGAAACUUGAGUGCAGAAGAGGACAGUGGAACUCCAUGUGUAGCGGUGAAAUGCGUAGAUAUAUGGAAGAACACCAGUGGCGAAGGCGGCUGUCUGGUCUGUAACUGACGCUGAGGCUCGAAAGUAUGGGUAGCAAACAGGAUUAGAUACCCUGGUAGUCCAUACCGUAAACGAUGAAUGCUAAGUGUUGGAGGGUUUCCGCCCUUCAGUGCUGCAGCUAACGCAUUAAGCAUUCCGCCUGGGGAGUACGGCCGCAAGGCUGAAACUCAAAGGAAUUGACGGGGGCCCGCACAAGCGGUGGAGCAUGUGGUUUAAUUCGAAGCUACGCGAAGAACCUUACCAGGUCUUGACAUACUAUGCAAAUCUAAGAGAUUAGACGUUCCCUUCGGGGACAUGGAUACAGGUGGUGCAUGGUUGUCGUCAGCUCGUGUCGUGAGAUGUUGGGUUAAGUCCCGCAACGAGCGCAACCCUUAUUAUCAGUUGCCAGCAUUAAAGUUGGGCACUCUGG